CCUAUAGGGCCAUUGUCCCUAAUAGGGCCAUUGUUCCUUAUUGGGGUCACUGUUCCCUCUAGGUCCGGCCCUGAGCCCAGCUGUGCCCCCCCAUGGUCAGGCCCACAGCUGGUCACCCCAUAGCGCUGUUUGGAGCCCCCAUAUAUGGGGGCUGGACAAGAUGGCGCCGCAGGGGCAGUGCCGCUACCAGCGCCGCUGGGUCACGCUGGACUCGCAGUGUCUGCGCUACUUCCACAGUGACAAGGCCUCGUUCUCGACGCGGUUCGUGUCCCUGUGCGGUCGCUGCUCCGUGUCGGCUCUGGGCGCGCUGCGCUUCCAGCUGCUGA
rnacentral:lncRNA from 1 species